GAUGAACGCUGGCGGCGUGCCUAAUACAUGCAAGUCGAGCGAACAGACGAGGAGCUUGCUCCUCUGACGUUAGCGGCGGACGGGUGAGUAACACGUGGAUAACCUACCUAUAAGACUGGGAUAACUUCGGGAAACCGGAGCUAAUACCGGAUAAUAUAUUGAACCGCAUGGUUCAAUAGUGAAAGACGGUUUUGCUGUCACUUAUAGAUGGAUCCGCGCCGCAUUAGCUAGUUGGUAAGGUAACGGCUUACCAAGGCAACGAUGCGUAGCCGACCUGAGAGGGUGAUCGGCCACGCUGGAACUGAGACACGGUCCAGACUCCUACGGGAGGCAGCAGUAGGAAAUCUUCCGCAAUGGGCGAAAGCCUGACGGAGCAACGCCGCGUGAGUGAUGAAGGUCUUCGGAUCGUAAAACUCUGUUAUUAGGGAAGAACAAAUGUGUAAGUAACUAUGCAUGUCUUGACGGUACCUAAUCAGAAAGCCACGGCUAACUACGU
rnacentral:rRNA from 1 species